AGUGAGACCCCACGACCCUCGC
rnacentral:misc_RNA from 1 species